GUGCCUGGCUGCCCACCGGGUCUCUGACCUGGACCUCGCUGUCGCUGGCCCCUGAAAUCCAUCACUUUGGUCGGCUGUUCUGUGACGCCGCAACAAGGAGCCACCUGGGUACUGGGCCUUCAAGAGGAGGGACGCGGGAAUCGCGUCCAGGCCAACUCUCGAGAGGGUUUCACCCCUGCCCAGUGCGGGCACUGCCCGCUCCCUUCCGUCCCCGGGCCUCGCAGGUCCCCGGGGGUACUGCCCAUCUCCACUUACCUUUCUAGGCUCUUUGGACCCUUCAGGGUUCGCGGAUCGCAGAGAUGUGUCCGCCAAGAUCUCUUCUUUGGUCCGUAAACAACUUCAUUCUCAAGGAGGCAGCUCUGGCCUCUCAGCAGGAGCUGGGGAGGAGUGACUGAAUAACCACAGGAUUUAGUCUUGAUGGCAGAAUCCCAGAAGCCAAAUCCACGUGGUGAAUAAGCUGCUGAUCUUUCAGAGCACACAUCCCCUGGAGAAUCUUCCCAAUGCUAAUAUGAAAGUUUACAACCAUAAUCCAUCAUCAGGCCCAAAUAUAUUACUUACUGAAUAAAUACACAAGUUACAAGCAACA